CCGACACAAGAGGGGUGCCUCGGGAAGAAAGGCCGCCGACGCGCAAGACGGCGACCGCACAACGAUCCGGAGAUCGGGUCUUCCCACGAAAAGGCUGAGAUCAUACCCUAUGAACUUGAUGCGGGCAACACCGACGAAAGGACUUGUUCAUAGACCGUA
rnacentral:ncRNA from 1 species